rnacentral:lncRNA from 1 species
UCUGUAUUAAUUUCUGACCGCACGGAAUCUCCAUAGCCAAUUUUCCAUUUUUGAUAGAAGGUUCUUUCUUUGGUACUACUAUUAUUUUACACGAUCCAGGAACUUCCAUAACGUUGGCAUGAUUCGGUUUGAGCAACAGAUCCUGACGUGAGAUAUUUUCGUAAUGAAAAUAGAGUGGAAACAUGAGUUGAUCCAUAAUGAGUAUUAGAUUGAAGUUCUCUUAAAGAAGACCGCCAACUCCUAUCCCGAAGAUAGAAAGCGCCCGGUCCUCUUCUCUUGUGUCGAAGUGUAGUGUAGUGUGGUGAGGUUUUGCCUCACAGAAAGAGUGGGAGAAAAAAACGAAGAAUUUCGAAUCUAAGAGUGGAAACAUGAGUUGAUCCAUAAAGAGUAUUAGAUUGAAGUUCUCUUAAAGAAGACCGCCAACUCCUAUCCCGAAGAUAGAAAGUGCCCGGUCCUCUUCUCUUGUGUCGAAGUAUAGUGUAGUGUUGUGAGGUUUUGCCUCACAGAAAGAGUGGGAGAAAAAAACAAAGAAUUUCGAAUCUGAUUAAAUCUAAGUAUAUGCCUUGGAGGCAUUCAAUGGAAAAAUAAUAUUCAUCCAUCAGGGAAAAAAGGGACAAUGAAAUAACUUCGUCCAAAAAAUACAAAUCCCACCCUUGAAAUUCGGGAAAUGGUUGGACUAUAGCUAUUAUUUGUUCACAUAUAUUAUCAAAAAGAUCGUCGAAUGGAUCCGUAGUCUGCUCAAAACUCGGUAGCACGGGGAAAUCCGCUUGGGUGAAAAAGGCGGGUAAAUCUAGUUCAAUCGGUAAAUCUAUCUCAGGAGUAAGCUGCUCCGUUGUAGCCACUUCUGUACCUGUACCGGCUUGAGCAGCCUGCAACUUCGCGCAGCUGCUACGCCCUUGCUUCUUGCCCCUUAUUUCAAACUCAAGGAAAGCCU